AAAUAAAAGUAAUGUUUAUCAAACAGGUUUAUCAUAUAAAAAAUGUGCUAAAAGACGCGAAAGAAUAAAUUGUGCAAAAUAAAGGAGUACCAGCUUCGCAUGCUAUGUAUAAAAAGUAAAACGUUACUUGUUCUUAUUACCUACUACGAAGCCUACUACCCUUAUUUUAUAACUUACCGGAAUGUAUUCAACUUGUCAAUCACACCGCUUAGAGGAUUUUUGCGGAGAGGCCCGGGGGAUCCACCAGGCGAGUUCUCUCUGGACUCCGCAGCGAGCGCCCGAGCGACCAUGAGGUCUUGUUCGUUUAACAUCCUGUAAAGUAAAUGAAAACCAUGCUUUUAAUGAAUGCUCUCCUUUUCCACAUAGGUUAA